UUUUUUUUUUUUUUUCUAAUUUUUGUGUAGAUAGCAGUUGAAGUCUCUGUUGCAGUUGCUCUGAUGUCAGACUUGAUAUUCCAGUCAAUUAUUUUUAAUUAUUAAAUUUCUUCAAUCAUUAAUUAUUAAAUCUUAUUUGCCAUUUUUUUUUUUCAAAUAAUAAGAAAAACCGAGUCCUAGUCUUAGCGGACUGGGUCUAAAAUGCACCGCGUAGUCAAGUGUGGUGUACACGGUACACCUACGCAUCCGUUCAAGGGUGGGUUGCAGAACCGCGUGAACGACGGAGAAGAGGAAGGGUUGCAGAGUUUGUUGGAGUUUCGGUUAAGACCACUUAGCGCAUGAGUCAUAACACCGCAAAAGAAAGUAGGGGAUGACGGUUUUAACUGUCUGGUACAUUUCGUAGCUAUGAUUAGGUUCACCGUUCAUGCGCAUGGUGCAUCUUAGCCAAUAAUUAAUAAAUAAAUAAAAUAGUAGAUGCGAUGAUAAUAAGCAAGAAGACGAGGAAGG
rnacentral:misc_RNA from 1 species